rnacentral:rRNA from 1 species
AACACAUGCAAGUCGAGCGGAUGAAAGGAGCUUGCUCCUGGAUUCAGCGGCGGACGGGUGAGUAAUGCCUAGGAAUCUGCCUGGUAGUGGGGGACAACGUUUCGAAAGGAACGCUAAUACCGCAUACGUCCUACGGGAGAAAGCAGGGGACCUUCGGGCCCUUGCGCUAUCAGAUGAGCCUAGGUCGGAUUAGCUAGUUGGUGAGGUAAUGGCUCACCAAGGCGACGAUCCGUAACUGGUCUGAGAGGAUGAUCAGUCACACUGGAACUGAGACACGGUCCAGACUCCUACGGGAGGCAGCAGUGGGGAAUAUUGGACAAUGGGCGAAAGCCUGAUCCAGCCAUGCCGCGUGUGUGAAGAAGGUCCUCGGAUUGUAAAGCACUUUAAGUUGGGAGGAAGGGUUGUAGAUUAAUACUCUGCAAUUUUGACGUUACCGACAGAAUAAGCACCGGCUAACUCUGUGCCAGCAGCCGCGGUAAUACAGAGGGUGCAAGCGUUAAUCGGAAUUACUGGGCGU